AUUUAAAUAGUUUAAUAAAAACAUUGGUCUUGUAAACCAAAAAUAAGAAAUCUUUCUUUUUAAAUA
rnacentral:tRNA from 3 species